UGUGCCCUUAAAUUUGAACUCAAAUUUCAGUUGAUUACUUAAAGAUUAUAGACCCUGAGGCAGUUAGGAGCAAGUUUUGUUAUUUUGGUGGAUGUGCUCAUGCCACUGUGCAUGUGUGGAGGUCUGAGGACAGCUAUUGGGAGUUGGUUAUCUCCUUUUCGUGGUGGCAUGUGGUAAUAGAAUUCAGGCCUUGUGGCUUUCUCAGCAAGUGCUUUUAUCCACUGAGUAGCCCAAAGAUCUGAUUAAUUUUGUCUCAUUAAUGAUUAAUAAAAGCCCUCCAUCUUUCACUGACCUAAGUUGUGUUGAAUUGUAUUAACUGCAAAUUUUAGUUUAUUUUUGUUGCUGGUCCCACAGUAAUCCUCUUAUUUUAUUCAUAUAUUAGUCAUUGAUGCCUUUGACAUAAGUUAGCAAUAAACCACCUACGCUAAGGAUAUGGAAUUUAGAAGUACCAAAGUCCCUAAGCCCCUUCACCACGCAGGUGGACAUCAACAUCUCCAUCUUUACUGAGCAAUUACAUCAGCUGUGGCAUUCUAACUCUGUGAAGUACAACACACUCCAUAAAGAAUGGAAGCUGUUUUUGCUCUGUGAAGUACAACGCACACUUUGCGAAGAAUGGAAGCCACAGGCUUAAAUCUUAAUAGGCUGACUCAUGAGGGAUUUUGUGACUAACCCAAACUUGGUUGCUAUUACAUUCCCAUUAUUGACUCCAAAAUAACUCUACUUCUUACGUACUGACUUAUGUACGCUUUAAUUUUUAAUAUAACAGAAACUAAAAUUCACCACCCAGCAGAAGAGAAAUAAAUGGAACCAUUAAGACUGUCUGUGUACUGCUACCCACGGACACCUUAACCUCAUUUAUCUUUUUCAAGGGACCUCAUUGUGCAUUGCAGAGGGUCUACCCUGAAACAGUGAUCCAAGCAGCCCCCUACUUCACACAUUAACUGACUGGCUUGCUAUCUUUAUUCUGUGGGUAUAAAUACUUAUCUAUGAAUAAAAUAAAAGAAAGAUUAUAGGACCAGCAGAGGGGAUUGGCCAGAGUUUAUGGUUAUUAUGAUCCAGCAUAGCCUAAGUCUGUUAAUCAUGGAGGGCUUUUAUUUCUUCUCAGAAUUUUUCAGUAUUAAGAUUUGUUUGGUGUCAUUGGCAAUUUACACAUUUCAUCAAUGGUAAAUGUCUGGGCCAAGAAUUCACUGAGGUGGGAACAUGGAGAAUGAGUGGAGAAGUCAGUGCUAAUGUCUUCACCAUGACUGGAGCAUGGUUUGUGGCUGGACAGGAUUAGCUCCCCUAAUCUGCAAAAUCAGACUGUGUUCUUAAGCCCAAAACUUUCUGAGCAUUGACUUGGUACAUGUGGAAGAUUCCACACUUGUCCUCAUGAUGGUUACAGUCAAAAUGCCGGGGCACUGAAAUAUAGUAAAAAAUUCCUGCUGGUCCCAGGUUUAAGGCGACGGGGGGGGGGGACAAAUGAAUUUUAUUUCUUUUUGGGUAAUAUUGUUAAGACAUUUCAUUGUGAUUGUGAAAAUAUAUCAAAAGUUGAAAAAAAAUCCCAGAUUUAAAACACUUGAGAAGCCAACCAUGUCUGAAACAGGGUGCUCAAUUGUGGUUGUUGAGAUCUCUAACUGUGCAAUAAGUUACCCAGUGACUUCAUGGCUCAAAGCAUGGAGCACCUUAGUUUCCAUGGUUUCCAUGAGGCCAGAGUUCAGGGGUUUGUGUUCAGAGUCCUGUCAAUUUACAGAGACAUGUUAGGCACAAUAGUGGCUUGACUGAGUGCAGGUGUGUUUUUGUGCGUGCAGGUGUGUUUGUGUGUGUGUGUGUGUGUGUGUGUGUGUGUGUGUGUGUGUGUGAUCAUUUUGCAAGGCUCAUGUCCAUGGCUGGCUGCUAAUGGGGACCAAUCUUUUUCUCCAUGUGAAAAUUUGCUCAGUGAGAGUCCUUAGAACAUGCCAUCUAAUUUCCCUAAAGCAAUCAUUACGGGAAGAGUCUGGUAGAUCUUAGUGUAUCAUAGGACCUAUUUCCCUAAGGCCCAAACCACCACUUCCAUAGUGUUCUACUGGCCACAUAGACAACCAUGAGCCAACAUGUGAACACAUAAUACAAGGCUGUGUGCCAUAGGCGUGGAGUCCACUGGCCGUCAUCUUGGAGGUUGUCUACCACAUUGACCGUCCUUAAAAUUCAGACAAAUUUAAUUAAAGAAGAGCAAGGAAAGUUCACAAGUGGGAUUGACAUGAAGUGAGGAGCUGAGUGAUCAGAUGUCCUUACAACUGCCAUCAGAGUGUCUCAGUCCCCUAGAACAUAAGCUGUCAGGCGUGUCUCAGUCAAACGUCAGGAGUUGAUCGUCAGGUUCACAUUUCAUGUUUAUUGACUUUAUUGGCAGUAAUGACUCAACGAGUGAGCUGACUAACAAAGGUAGGACUAACUAAACCAAAGACAACCAUGCCCCAACCAAUGAUGGGAAUUCUUGGGUGUCUGAAUCAAUGAUUUUUAUUAAGCCUGUAACUCUGAGGUCCAUCAUAAGAGACUUCAUCAGAGGCCAAUGAAAUGACUUAGUGGGUUAAUGCGCUUGCUGCCAAGCCUGAGCACCUGAGUUCAAUCCCCCAGACCCACAUGGUGGAAGGAGAGAACCGUUCCCGAGGAUGUCUUCUGAUCUCCUCAUGUGUGCUAUGGCAUGUGCAUGCACACACAGACAAAGACACACACACACACACACACACACACACACACACACACACACACUGCAAAGAUACACAAAGACACAUAGACACAUACCUGGAGACAAAGGCACACAAACUUAGACACACAAAGGCAAAGACACACACACAUACACAAACACACACACACAGACAAAUAUACACACAGAUAGACAAAGACAAGCACACACAAAGACAUACAUAUAUACAUAGAGACAAAGACACACACAGAGAGAAUGACAAAGACACACAGAAAGACAGAGGACAUACACAUACAGACAGACAAAAACAUACAAUAUACACAGACAAAGACACACACACACUCACAGAGACAAAGACACACAGCACACACACAGACAAAGACACAUACAGAAAAAAACACACUCACAAAUACAGACACAGACAUACAACACAUAUACACAGAGGUAGACAAAGACAUACAAUACACACACACAGAGGGACAAAGACACACACACAGACAAAGACCCACAUACACAGAGACAAAGACACACACACACACACACACACACACACACUGACAAAGAUACACAAAGACACACAGACACAUACCUGGAGACAAAGACACACACACUGAGACACACAAAGGCAAAGACACAUACACAAACACACACACACACAGACAAAUAUACACACAGAUAGACAAAGAAAAGCACACACAAACACACACAUAUAUACACAGAGACAAAGAUACACACAGAGAGAAUGACAAAGACACACAGAGAGACAGAGAAGGGCAUACACAUGCAUACAGACAAAAAUACACAACACACAAGGACAAAGACACACACACACACUCACAGAGACAGAUAAAGACACCAGCACACACACAAAGACACAUACAGAAAAAAAACACACACUCACAAAUACAGACAAAGACAUACAACACACAUGCACAGAGGCAGACAAAGACACUCAACACACACACAGAAAAAGACACACACACACAGACAAAGACCCACAUACAUAGAGACAAAGUCAAACACACGCAGAGAUAAAGACACACACACACCGACAAAUAUACAUAUUUGUGUGUAUACACACACACACACACACACACUAUAUAUAUAUAUAUAUAUAUAUAUAUAUAUAUAUAUAUACAGAGACAAAGACACACAGAGAGACAGAGAAGGACAUACACAUACAGAAAGACAAAAACACACAAUACACACAAAGGCACACACGCACACACAGACAAAGACACACAGCGCACACACAGACAAAGACACAUACAGAAAAAAACACCCACUCACAAAUACAGACAAAGACAACACACAUACACAUAGGCAGACAAAGACACACAAUACACACACACACACACACAGAGACAAAGACACACACACAGACAAAGACCCACAUACACAGAGACAAAGUCAAACACACACAGAGACAAAGACACACACACACAAAGACAAAGAACUAAGACACACAUAGACAAAGAUACACACAGACAAUUACACAUACACACAUAAAGAUGCACAAAGACAAAAUACACACAAAGACAAACAUGCAGACAAAGACACAUACACACAUACACAGAGACAGAUAAAUGACAUACACAGAGAAAAAGACAACCGACCAUGGACAAAGUCACAGGGCAACGACAUACACACAGAAAUAGACAAAGACAAACACACACACACACACACACACACACACACACAAACUCAAACACACACAAAGACACAGACACACAGACAAAGACAAACACACACAGACAAACACAUACACACAUACACAGAGACAAAGACACACACAAACACACACACAAAGACAUACUCACACAUAUACAGAGACAAAGACACACCCAUCCAAAGACACAUAUACACAUACACAAAGACACAUACACACAUAUACAGAGACAAAGACACACAUACUGAGAUAAAGACAAACACACACAAAGACAUACACACACAAUCAUAAAGACACAAACACAUACAGACAAGGGCACACACACACAAAGAUAGACACACAGAGACAAAGACACACAUACACAGAGAUAAAGACAAACACAGACAUACUAGAAAGACAAACACACAAAGACACACAUACAGAGAUCGACAAAGAAACACAGAGAGACAGACAAAGACAUACACAUAUAGACAGACAAAAACACACAACACACGCACAAAGACACAGUACACACACCCAGAGACAGACAAAGACACACAGCACACAGACACAGACACACAAUACACAGACAAAGACACACACAGGACAAAGACACAGACACAGACAUACACAAAGACAAGACAAACACACACAGACAAAGAAACACAACACACACAAAGAUACACACAAAGGCACACACAGACAAAUAUACGCACACUGAUGAAGACACACACACAUCAAGGACCCACACAACAAAGACACAAUACACACAAAGACACGAACACACAAAGAUACACAUAAAGACAUGACAAAGCCACACACACACACACACACACACACACACACACACACACACACACACCAAACAAAUAUGUAGAAAGAAUAGACACUUGUUUAGGGAAUUAUUAGAAAUUAGGAACAUUUCAAAUUUUGUUUCUUAACUAUUUAGUUUCAUAAGUCUCUGGUAUUUCACUGUAAGUAAAUUAAUACGGCGAGGCAAAUAUUUAAAUACAUAAAUAUUUAAAUGACAAAGGAGAAAAGGCAGCUAUUUGUGGCCUCCUUAUGAAAUUGGAGAAUUUAUGCACUAUUGUGAAUACAUUUGAAGCAAUCAAUUCCAACAUAAAUUUAUUAAAUCUGAUUGAUAGUCCUUCACCCAGCCCUGAGAAACUGAUGGCAUUGUUCUUCAUCAUUAAGGACAUAGUGGCUGGUGAAUUGAUGCUUGUUUAUUGGACUGUAGUUAAAAUACCAGAAAGUUCACUAAAUAGGAACCAGCACUGCUCUAAUGAGCACAGAUUUGCUAAGGUUCAGGAAGGCUAACCAUCCCUGUGACAUUGAUGUUCACCGUGGGAAGAGGGAGCCAAGGGUUUUCUGUUAAUAACGUCCUGCUUGUUAUUGUUGGGACUUACUGUAGGUUGAUCUUUGUUGUUCUUUGUGAGUGAGUAAAUGAUGGUUUAGAUGAAUGAAGAAAGCAUUCAAACCUAGGCCAGUGAUCUUGGAGAAUGUCAGUAAAAAUUUUAUUAAACUCCAGAAUGUCAAGGACCACUGGGAAGAUAAAAUGACUACUGUGAGUGGAGGAAGAGUCAGUUUUUUUUUUUUAUUAUGAUCCUGUCAUUCAAGCUGGGUGGUAGUGGCUCACACCUUUCAGGGCUACACAGUCAUUUGUAUGCAGAUGUUUUUGUCCUAUGUUGGUAACUGGUCUUGGAUAGUACCUUUAGAGAAGUGACACCCAUUCAUUGGCAUAAAAUAAUAAUUAAAUGUCCACAUAAUUGCCAGAUGAAUACAGACCCAUGAUAAGAAUAUUAACCCAGCUGGGCGGUGGUGGCGCUCGCCUGUAAUCCCAGCACUUGGGAGGCUGAGGCAGGUGGAUCUCUGUAAGUUCAAGGCCAGCCUGGUCUCCAGAGCGAGUGCCAGGACAGCUAAGGCACAGAGAAACCCUGUCUCGAACCCCCUUCCCCCCCCAAAACAAAUGUUAAUUCAAAACCCUAACUUUUAUUGAUUUUCUUAAUAAAAAUGGAAAAGAACUCAGCCUGCCAUUAUUGAGGGCACUGGCUAUAGAGUCAGAAGAAAAUAUUUUUUAUAGCCCGGGGCUGUUACAUUGUAGAUUCCCAUAUUCUCAAAAUGAAGGAAUUAUUUUAGUCCUGAAUUUAUAUUUUUAAAAGUCAGCAGCACCGGGCUCAUCAGGAACUCAUGUCAUCAUAUGACAGCUCUGACACGUGCUUUCUUUCCCCCCACCGUGUCAAAGAUUUUAUCAUGUUCUAAUCAUGUUGACCACCUCUGUGCCUCCAAACUAAGGAGCAUGAAGCCCUAGAAUGAGCGCGGCUGGUGUGGCUUCAUGAUUACCUUCUGGGGAAGAUCUUGCCUGUUUACCUCUGCAUAAGGAAGGAAGACACAGAUGGUCAAAGGAUCACACAGGCAUGCAGAUGUCUCCAUCUAUACCAACAUUUGAAAGACAACUUCAGAGACAGAGUCAUCAUCUCCUUCCUCCUACCUAGGUUCACUUAGAAGAUUUUCCUCUCCCCUGAAAAGCAGGUGCUCACCACUCAGAAGCUUCUGUCUGUUUUAAAGACUGGGCCACGCUCAAACUCUACACUUACUUUGGGUGUUUACAGAAGACCCAAACCCGUGUGAGUACUAUUCAAAAUUGUUGUUUCCUUUCCUCAAAGCGAUGCUCUAUGUUACUACAGAGUAUCGAGUUUAUCUGAGCAAGGGACUUGCUUAUGCCAGAAGAGAAAAGAAAAUCAUAGGCACUUUUAUUGUUAAACAGCAAACAUGCACAUAUUGCUAGAGUAGAGACAGGUAGUUUGGACCAAUGAUGACUAGGCUGGCGGCUUUCUAAGUCAUGCAUUGACGAUGGCUACAUCACUUCCUGUCUGAGGUUCACAGCAUCACACACCUCACACCUCCCUCUUAGCCAGGUGACAAAAGUUAGACAUGUCGAACACAUGCUGGACAUUAGAAUCAGGCACUUUCAUGCACGUCCUCAGUGGAUUGAUGUAACAUGACAUAAAUAUAGAUACAAAUGAAAAUACAUUUACUGAGGCAUUGAUCAAUUAGAAAUUAAAUAUUGGACCACUAAUGGCAUUGCUACAUGCAGAAACUUUGGAACUCACUGAAGAAAUAAUUGGCAUAAGAUGUAUAUAAACUUCAUCCAAGUUCACAUAUGAGAUAUAAUUAAUGGAUUAAGCCACAGUGAGAGUCAACAUCUCAAUUUUAAAUCUUUAGUUGAUUCUCUAAGAAACCAUCAUCACAAUUUAAUUUGCAAAUAAUAAGUAGUGAAAGGAAAAUGCAGAAAUGAUUUGAAAACGUCAAUCUUUUAAUUAUCUUCCCUGCUCUGUCCUCCCUGCAUGGAUGCUGAGUGACACACUGUUGCCUGGCUGGGAGGUCCAUGGUUGCCCUAUCCCCAUGUGUGAGGAUCCAGA
ensembl:lncRNA